rnacentral:rRNA from 1 species
GAUGAACGCUGGCGGCGUGCCUAAUACAUGCAAGUCGAGCGAACAGACGAGGAGCUUGCUCCUCUGACGUUAGCGGCGGACGGGUGAGUAACACGUGGAUAACCUACCUAUAAGACUGGGAUAACUUCGGGAAACCGGAGCUAAUACCGGAUAAUAUAUUGAACCGCAUGGUUCAAUAGUGAAAGACGGUUUUGCUGUCACUUAUAGAUGGAUCCGCGCCGCCUUAGCUAGUUGGUAAGGUAACGGCUUACCAAGGCGACGAUGCGUAGCCGACCUGAGAGGGGGACGGCCCAGACGGGAAUGGACACCCGGCCAGGACACAUCGGGGGGGCAGCAGUGGGAGUUUUUCGAAAAGGGCAAAAGCCCGGAGGGAGCACCGCCGGGGGGGGGAAAAGGGUCUUGGAAUCAAAAACCUGUUUUAUGGGGAAAAAAAAAUUGGGAACGUAACAAGGCGCUUUUGGCGGGACCCUAACAAAAACACCCCGACAACCUCGGCC